UACGUAGGGUGCAAGCGUUAAUCGGAAUUACUGGGCGUAAAGCGUGCGCAGGCGGUUUUGCAAGUCAGAUGUGAAAUCCCCGGGCUUAACCUGGGAACUGCAUUUGUGACUGCAUAGCUGGAGUGCGGCAGAGGGGGAUGGAAUUCCGCGUGUAGCAGUGAAAUGCGUAGAUAUGCGGAGGAACACCGGUGGCGAAGGCAGUCCCCUGGGCCUGCACUGACGCUCAUGCGCGAAAGCGUGGGGAGCAAACAGG
rnacentral:rRNA from 1 species